rnacentral:rRNA from 1 species
UUUUCUGAGAAUUUGAUCUUGGUUCAGAUUGAACGCUGGCGGCGUGGAUGAGGCAUGCAAGUCGAACGGAGCAAUUGUUUCGGCAAUUGUUUAGUGGCGGAAGGGUUAGUAAUGCAUAGAUAAUUUGUCCUUAACUUGGGAAUAACGGUUGGAAACGGCCGCUAAUACCGAAUGUGGCGAUAUUUGGGCAUCCGAGUAACGUUAAAGAAGGGGAUCUUAGGACCUUUCGGUUAAGGGAGAGUCUAUGUGAUAUCAGCUAGUUGGUGGGGUAAAGGCCUACCAAGGCUAUGACGUCUAGGCGGAUUGAGAGAUUGGCCGCCAACACUGGGACUGAGACACUGCCCAGACUCCUACGGGAGGCUGCAGUCGAGAAUCUUUCGCAAUGGACGGAAGUCUGACGAAGCGACGCCGCGUGUGUGAUGAAGGCUCUAGGGUUGUAAAGCACUUUCGCUUGGGAAUAAGAGAAGACGGUUAAUACCCGCUGGAUUUGAGCGUACCAGGUAAAGAAGCACCGGCUAACUCCGUGCCAGCAGCUGCGGUAAUACGGAGGGUGCUAGCGUUAAUCGGAUUUAUUGGGCGUAAAGGGCGUGUAGGCGGAAAGGUAAGUUAGUUGUCAAAGAUCGGGGCUCAACCCCGAGUCGGCAUCUAAUACUAUUUUUCUAGAGGAUAGAUGGAGAAAAGGGAAUUUCACGUGUAGCGGUGAAAUGCGUAGAUAUGUGGAAGAACACCAGUGGCGAAGGCGCUUUUCUAAUUUAUACCUGACGCUAAGGCGCGAAAGCAAGGGGAGCAAACAGGAUUAGAUACCCUGGUAGUCCUUGCCGUAAACGAUGCAUACUUGAUGUGGAUGGUCUCAACCCCAUCCGUGUCGGAGCUAACGCGUUAAGUAUGCCGCCUGAGGAGUACACUCGCAAGGGUGAAACUCAAAAGAAUUGACGGGGGCCCGCACAAGCAGUGGAGCAUGUGGUUUAAUUCGAUGCAACGCGAAGGACCUUACCUGGGUUUGACAUGUAUAUGACCGCGGCAGAAAUGUCGUUUUCCGCAAGGACAUAUACACAGGUGCUGCAUGGCUGUCGUCAGCUCGUGCCGUGAGGUGUUGGGUUAAGUCCCGCAACGAGCGCAACCCUUAUCGUUAGUUGCCAGCACUUAGGGUGGGAACUCUAACGAGACUGCCUGGGUUAACCAGGAGGAAGGCGAGGAUGACGUCAAGUCAGCAUGGCCCUUAUGCCCAGGGCGACACACGUGCUACAAUGGCCAGUACAGAAGGUAGCAAGAUCGUGAGAUGGAGCAAAUCCUCAAAGCUGGCCCCAGUUCGGAUUGUAGUCUGCAACUCGACUACAUGAAGUCGGAAUUGCUAGUAAUGGCGUGUCAGCCAUAACGCCGUGAAUACGUUCCCGGGCCUUGUACACACCGCCCGUCACAUCAUGGGAGUUGGUUUUACCUUAAGUCGUUGACUCAACCCGCAAGGGAGAGAGGCGCCCAAGGUGAGGCUGAUGACUAGGAUGAAGUCGUAACAAGGUAGCCCUACCGGAAGGUGGGGCUGGAUCACCUCCUUUUAAGGAUAAGG